rnacentral:lncRNA from 1 species
CCUAGAAACAAUUCUCCAGAGGAGAGUCAUAGAGGACCUGAACUAGGCAGUAGCAGAGGGAUGGAGACAAGAAGACCGCUGUGAGACAUGCCAGGGAAGACGGCCUUCUAGACCCUAGUGACUCUAAGCAUGGUCUCUGGGCCAACAGCCUCAGCAUCUCUCGGGAGAUUGUGAGAAAUGCGAAUUCUCAGGCCCCAACCCAGAUCUACUGAAUAAAAAUCUGCUUGGAAAAGAUCGCCAAGGGAUCCAUAUGCUCCUUAAACUUCAGAAGCACUGCUUUCAGACCACUUGCCUGGGAGAGGGAUGGAGGAAGGAAUGGACGAUGACUCUGAGCCUGUGUUCAAGCAUUAUAAAAUGGGUGAGACCUUCUAGAACAACAUGGAUGAGACCUUUCUUUGAGAAGAGUGCUUUCCCUUCAACAGUGCAAGUGCCAAGAAGCCAGGAGCCAUGUCUAUUUUCUUCUCUACAAGUUCUACUCAGUACCUAAUUCAGUGACUAAUACAGAGCAGGAAUUUGACAGAUGCCUGUUGAAUGAAUGACAAUAGGGGAUUUUGGACAGUUGGAUUAAUUUUUCCAUUUAAGAGACAAGAUCUUACUCUCUCACCCUGACUGGAGUGCAGUGGCAUGACGAUGGCUCACUGCAGCAUCAACCUCCUGAGCCCAAGCAAUCCUCCCACCUCAGCCUCUUGAGUAGCUGGGACUAUAGGUGCACUACACCUGGCUAAUUUUUGUAUGUUUUGUGGAGACGGGGUCCCACUAUGUUGCCUAGGCUGGUCUCCAACUCCUGGGCUCAAGGGAUCCUCUCACCUUGGCCUCCAAAGUGCUGGGAUUAUAGGUAUGAACCACUGUAUGCAGCCCAUCUGUUGUAUUUAGGUCUUUGGUGCAUUUGAGUUAAUUUUUGCAUGUGAUGUAAGGUAAGGUCCUACUUCAUUCUUUUGCAUGUGGAUAUCGAGUUUUUCUGAUAUUAAUUGCUAAAGAGACUGUCCUUUACUGAAUGGCCUUGGCAUCCUUGUCAAAAAUCAUUCAACCCAAUAGACAAAGGUUUAUUUCUGGGCCCUCUAUUCUAUUCCAUUGGUCUAUACAUCUAUUUUUAUGCCAGUGCCACACUGUUUUUAUUACUGUAGCUUUGUGGUAAAAUUUGAAAUCAGGAAGUAUGAGAUUGCCAAUAUUGUUCUUUUUCAACAUUGUUUGGGCUACUCAAAGUCCCUUGAGAUUCCAUAUGAAUUUUAGAAUGAAUUUUUCUAAUUUUGCAAAAAAAUGCUAUUGGGAUUUUGUUAAGGUUUGCACUGAAUCUAUAGAUUGCUUUGGGUGGUAGUGAGACUUUAACAAUGUUACACCUUCCAAUCCAUAAAUAUGGAUAUCUUUCCAAUCCGUUUGUGUCUUUAAUUUCUUUCAGCAUUUUUAAAAAAAAAAUUUUCAUUUUUUAUAGAGAUGGGAUCUCACUAUGUUGCCUAGGCUGGUCUUAAACUUCUGGCCUCAAACAAUCUUCCCACUUUGGCCUCCCAAAGUGCUAGGAUCACAGGCGUGAGCUAUUGUGCCCGGCCCUCACCAAUAUUUUGUAGAAUUUAGUGUACUAGUCUUUUAUCUCCUUGGUUAAGUUUAUUCCUAUUUUAUUAUUUUUGAUGCUAUUGUAAUUCGAAUUUUUUUCUAAUAUUGCUGUUAAUCUUCUAUUUUAUAGAUGAGCAUACUGAAGCCCAGAGACAUUAAGUAACUAGGCUCAUUAGUAGUGACAGUGAUGUUGCCACCAAACUGUAAAGCCAGGAUUUGGACUCAGGCAAGUGACCCCACAGUUGUGUUCUUGAGUGCUCCACCGCAGCAUCACUACAGGAAGUGGACUAGAUUCUCAUGGGCCUUCAGGAUGAUGAAGAAUUCUGGACGAUUUACAGUGGAAAAUCAGGAUUACUGUGGUUUUUGCCUGCUCCUCCCUGUUCUUCCUUCUUUGUUGUUUAGACAAAUUCUAAACGACAGACCUUCAGCUCUCAAAUGCUAGAACCUUGACGAAGAUUUAUAGCCUAUUCUCUUUAGAGUGCCACUUUUCCUUCCUUUCUUAACUGGACUAUGAAUGGCUCUUAUCUACUUUUGUUCUUUUAUUUUUUUCACAUUUUACUCCAAUUUCCUAGAAUAAAUUCAUAAAUAAUUGGAAGCUGGUUUGGAGACACAGCAAUAAAUUUUUUUAAAUGAUGCUUUGUAGUAGCGACUUAGGCAUUUUCCUUAUUAUGGAUAUGUCUGGACUGUACAAGGAUCUCUUUGUAUAACCAACCUCAAUAAACUGAUGGAUGGAACAGAGGCUUCAUUUGUCUUUGGCACAGUGGCACUAACCUGCUUCAGAAUUUUGACAUCAAUUGUUAGACAUUAAGUAACUUGCCUCUUUCUCAUGAGCCCAGUCAUCAAAAAGGGACAUGGAAAUAUCCUAAUGUUUCACCUGUUUUAUUACAGGGUUUUAAUAACUUAGAGAACCUCCAAAUGAGAGUACUGAAAAAAUAUCUAUAGUGUAACACGCUCUGUGCAACCAGAUGAAGAAAUAAUGUAGGGAAAAAACCAGUGUUGCUUCAUUUCUCUCUUUCUCUCUCUUUCUCCAUCCAUCCACCCAUCCAUCCGAAUAAUGACUAAACUCUACUCAUACUUAUCCCUACAUGUCCCUACAAUCCAUUCAUUUUUUCAUCUCCACUGCAUUGCCUCCAUUCAGAUGUCAUUAUCAUUUGUCCACUUUGCUACUGCAGCCUCCCAACUGGACCCUCUUCCUCCAGUCUU